rnacentral:rRNA from 1 species
GACGAACGCUGGCGGCGUGCUUAACACAUGCAAGUCGAACGGAAAGGCCCUGCUUUUGUGGGGUGCUCGAGUGGCGAACGGGUGAGUAACACGUUAGUAACCUGCCCUUGACUUUGGGAUAACUUCAGGAAACUGGGGCUAAUACCGGAUAGGAGCUCCUGCUGCAUGGUGGGGGUUGGAAAGUUUCGGCGGUUGGGGAUGGACUCGCGGCUUAUCAGCUUGUUGGUGGGGUAGUGGCUUACCAAGGCUUUGACGGGUAGCCGGCCUGAGAGGGUGACCGGCCACAUUGGGACUGAGAUACGGCCCAGACUCCUACGGGAGGCAGGAGUGGGGAAUAUUGCACAAUGGGCGGAAGCCUGAUGCAGCAACGCCGCGUGCGGGAUGACGGCCUUCGGGUUGUAAACCGCUUUCGCCUGUGACGAAGCGUGAGUGAAGGUAAUGGGUAAAGAAGCACCGGCUAACUACGUG